GAUGAACGCUGGCGGCGUGCUUAACACAUGCAAGUCGAACGAUGAAGCCCAGCUUGCUGUGCGGUUUAGUGGCGAACGGGUGAGUAACACGUGAGUAACCUGCCCUUCACUCUGGGAUAAGCCUGUGAAACUGGGUCUAAUACCGGAUAGGAGCGUCCACCGCAUGGUGGGUGUUGGAGAGAUUUAUCGGUUUUGGAUGGACUCGCGGCCUAUCAGCUUUUUGGUGAGGGAGUGGCUCACCAAGGCGAUGACGGGUAGCCGGCCUGAGAGGGUGACCGGCCACACGGGGACUGCGAGAGGGCGCAGACGCCAACGGGAGGCAGCAGGCGAGAGUAUUGCGCAACGGGGGCAAGCCUGAUGCAGCGGCCCCGCGUGCGGGAUGCCGGCCUUCUGGUUGUAAACCUCUGUCAGUAGGGAAGAAGCGAAAGUGACGGUACCUGCAGAAGAAGCACCGGCUAACUACGUG
rnacentral:rRNA from 1 species